UUGGCGAGCAGGGUGGCGUGGUUCAGCGUGCUCAGCUCAUCCACUGCCGGUAUUCCUAGGCAACCGACUAACGGCACGGAAUCUCUCCGCCGGGAGACGAGCACAAUAGCGCGCCAGCGGGCUGAACUACUUAAACUCUGCAAACGCUGAGGAUAUUCCCCUCCGGGUCACGGAGACGCACCCUUGGCCUGGCAACAGUGGGCUAGGCUCUUCCCCCUCAUUGACACGGUGCCACGUCUCUCAUCUCCGACGAAACCUGCUGUUCUGGCUUACCUGGAAUUUGGGACUCUUCUUCGGGAAGUCUGGUUUUAAUAUUGUGUUACAUAUUGACCAACAAGGACCCAGAGUAAUAAACAAUACACUCCACACUGCACCGUCAAGGGGUGUGGAGAACAACACGUCCAGGGGGACGCCCGCAUCUUAAAUUCAUCUUUUAACCUAAGUAUACUGUGUUUUAGAUAGUUUUGUAUGUGUUAUUUUGUUGUUUUGUUUGUUUAUGACGUUUUAAACCUUGACUUGUUUUAAUAAUUUUCUUGUCGUGGGCAGGUGCUGUGGCCCGGAGGCGGGGACCCAAUUCCUGGUGGAGGGAGUUUCUUCACGACCCGUUUUGUUAGAUGUGCUGUGUCACGGGUGGCUUGUUUUCUUAAUCCCUUUCCCCCUUUUGUUUGGUCCUCGUCGCCGCGGUGAGUCACAGCCCUGUCCAAAUACUAUAUAUCUUUUAGCUCAAGUGUUUGGUUUAUUUUGUGUGUUUAUUGUGUUUUGAUUAUUGGUUUAGUUUGUGUGUUUUGAUUAUUGGUUUAUUUUGUGCGUUUAUUGUGUUUUGAUUAUUGGUUUA